GUCCGCACCUAGUUAAUGAGAUGUGAAAACCACAAACCGCAAGGGAAGCCUCGGCGUGUGCCGACCCUGGGUGGCGGCCUGUUCGUUAGAAGAACGCCGCCCAGGAGGAGCAUUCGUGGAUUGCUUCCCACCCCGUUCGGUUCCCAUACUGGGACCCCCCCAGUGCCCCUUUGGAGUGUUCACACCAAUCAAUUAGAACAUUGACAAUUCGC